UACAGAGGUCUCAAGCGUUGUUCGGAUUCAUUGGGCGUAAAGGGUGCGUAGGCGGCGUGGUAAGUCGGGUGUGAAAUCUCGGAGCUUAACUCCGAAACUGCAUUCGAUACUGCCGUGCUUGAGGACUGGAGAGGAGACUGGAAUUUACGGUGUAGCGGUGAAAUGCGUAGAUAUCGAGAGGAACACCUGCGGCGAAGGCGGGUAGCUGGGCCGACACUGACGCUGAGGCGCGAAAGCCAGGGGAGCGAACGGG
rnacentral:rRNA from 1 species